GAACUAACAUGUUAGGACUUGUUCAGUCUUGUCCCGCUGCGAAGCAUGUGACCCAUCAGCAUAUUUCUGGAAGGGUUUCCUUGAUGAUUACCUUAGUCAGUGAGUUAUUGGUUUUGCCCCCUGCUCCUGUUCCAACCCCUGUUGGCCUGUCUAGGUUAGCCAGGGUUUCUCUGCUCCUGUUCCAAACCCUGUUGGCCUGUCUAGGUUAGCCAGGGUUUCUCUGCUCCUGUUCCAAACCCUGUUGGCCUGUCUAGGUUAGCCAGGGUUUCUCUGCUCCUGUUCCAAACCCUGUUGGCCUGUCUAGGUUAGCCAGGGUGUCUCUGCUCCUGGUCCAAACCCUGUUGGCCUGUCUAGGUUAGCCAGGGUGUCUCUGCUCCUGUUCCAAACCCUGUUGGCCUGUCUAGGUUAGCCAGGGUUUCUCUGCUCCUGUUCCAAACCCUGUUGGCCUGUCUAGGUUAGCCAGGGUUUCUCUGCUCCUGGUCCAAACCCUGUUGGCCUGUCUAGGUUAGCCAGGGUGUCUCUGCUCCUGUUCCAAACCCUGUUGGCCUGUCUAGGUUAGCCAGGGUUUCUCUGCUCCUGGUCCAAACCCUGUUGGCCUGUCUAGGUUAGCCAGGGUUUCUCUGCUCCUGUUCCAAACCCUGUUGGCCUGUCUAGGUUAGCCAGGGUGUCUCUGCUCCUGUUCCAAACCCUGUUGGCCUGUCUAGGUUAGCCAGGGUUUCUCUGCUCCUGUUCCAAACCCUGUUGGCCUGUCUAGGUUAGCCAGGGUGUCUCUGCUCCUGUUCCAAACCCUGUUGGCCUGUCUAGGUUAGCCAGGGUGUCUCUGCUCCUGUUCCAAACCCUGUUGGCCUGUCUAGGUUAGCCAGGGUGUCUCUGCUCCUGGUCCAAACCCUGUUGGCCUGUCUAGGUUAGCCAGGGUGUCUCUGCUCCGCCGGUUGGCUGAGAGCAUUAACGGUUCACCAUGCCUCAGACGGUCUCUGUUCUCUCUCUCAUUCACCACUGUAGCGUUGCACCACAUUACAGUAUGUGGUACUGACAGCUGAUGUGUAGUGCUAAGAUGAGGUACGUUUUCCAAACUACAAUGAGUGAGCGAUACAAUACAUAGCAUAAUUAUAGUCUCUCUGCUUUAACUGACAGUAGCCAAUGUUCCUCCUCGGGAGUCUUGUUGACAUUGACAACAGUAGGUUAUUUCUCAAUCGUGGCAUUUAUGGAAUAUUCUACAUUCACGUUUUAAUUGGGUGGUGAGGGAAUAGUCUCUCUGCUUUAACUAACAGUAGCCAAUGUUCCUCCUCGUCAAUGUCAACAAGACUCCCAACAGUAGGUUAUUUCUUAAUCGUGGCAUU